UGUUUUUUCAUGAUUACUAUUCCCUUUCCUUUUUUUACGCAAUUCAAAUUCCUGUCCCCCACGUUUUGAUUCAUUGUUUCAGGCUUAGUCCCUUCCCCUUCCCCACCUUUUGAUUCUCACGGUUUCAGCUUCUGUUGCACUGUUUCACUCACAGUUUCAUAUUCUUGUUCUACGGUUUCGGCUUCUAACGUCAGCCUCUCUUUCUUCUUUCCUUCCUUCCUUCCUCUCCUCACAUCUAUAUAAAUACUGACGUAAGCGGGUGGUUCAAUUGAGGUAUCCCUACAUCCCAAUUUCUUUUGUGCUCUAUUCUUUUGCUUGAUGAUUUUUUUUCCCUUUCUAUGUUUGUUUCUGGCUAGGGUGUUGAAUUUGUUUAUGCUGGGUUAUUUAAUUGGAGCACUGCUUCUUUUGGGUCAGGUACUAAUUAUUAAGGAGGUAAACGCCACCAUCUUCUCAUGAAUUACUAAGGUUCCCAAGCCAUCUAAAAUGGGUGAUUGUAGACCUAUCUAUGUUGUAACAUAAUCUAUAAAUGCAUUACUACAGUCUGGGCCAAUAGGAUUUAAGCCUUGGCUUAAGUAUAUUGAUUGGUCAGCACCAAACCACACUUGUCAUGGGAAGGAAUAUCGAAGAGAAUGUUCUCUUAAUGAAAGACACGAGGGAUGCUGUGUGCUUUAAUUGUAUAGCUCAUGGCUGUAUGAAAUGGUGGCCAUUAAAUUAGUAAAGAGUUUGUGUUUUCUUUUUUA